rnacentral:tRNA from 1 species
AUUUAUAAAGGUUUAAACCCUUUUCUUUUUA